UACGAAGGGUGCAAGCGUUAAUCGGAAUUACUGGGCGUAAAGCGUGCGUAGGCGGUUUCUUAAGUCUGCUGUGAAAGCCCCGGGCUCAACCUGGGAAUGGCGGUGGAUACUGAGGAGCUGGAGUACGGUAGAGGAAGGUGGAAUUCCCGGUGUAGCGGUGAAAUGCGCAGAUAUCAGGAGGAACACCGGUGGCGAAGGCGGUGGCCUGGGCCGGAACUGACGCUGAGGAGCGAAAGCGUGGGGAGCAAACAGG
rnacentral:rRNA from 1 species